rnacentral:rRNA from 1 species
AACGAACGCUGGCGGCAGGCUUAACACAUGCAAGUCGAGCGCCCCGCAAGGGGAGCGGCAGACGGGUGAGUAACGCGUGGGAACAUACCCUUUCCUGCGGAAUAGCUCCGGGAAACUGGAAUUAAUACCGCAUACGCCCUACGGGGGAAAGAUUUAUGGGGGAAGGAUUUGCCCGCGUUGAAUUAGCUAGUUGGUGGGGUAAAGGCCUACCAAGGCGACGAUCCAUAGCUGGUCUGAGAGGAUGAUCAGCCACAUUGGGACUGAUACACGGCCCAAACUCCUCCGGGAGGAAGCAGUGGGGAAUAUUGGACAAUGGGCGCAAGACUGAGCCAGCCAUGCCGCGUGAGUGAUGAAGGCCUUAGGGUUGUAAAGCUCUUUCACCGGAGAAGAUAAUGACGGUAUCCGGAGAAGAAGCCCCGGCUAACUUCGUGCCAGCAGCCGCCGUAACAC